rnacentral:lncRNA from 1 species
CUCGUUACAGCAUGCUUGUCCCUCAACUUGGUUAAACCAUGUUCCAUCUUGUAAAGUAGAUGUGACAUAACUGUUUGCAUUUUGGCCCUGAACCAUGCUACAGAUGUUGUAAUGUUGAAGAGCCUGAAGUAGCUUAAACUGCAAUGCUGGGGAUCUACUAGGAAGCAGCAGCAGCAGUUCCACCCUCUCAAAAAUAGUAUCAUUAACCCCUUCCCCCCAACUCCAUGAGAUUGCUCCCAUCAUUAAAUACACUGAGCAGUAUGAAUCUAACAUGAGGUAGCUUAAUUUUGGCAAUAUUUUAAGCUGUGGUUAUUUGAGAUCAGGUCAGAAAGUUUUAUGGGGAAGUUAUUCUGACCCUGCUCAUAAACACAUUUGCCAUUUCUAUGUGUGUUUAACACAAAACACUCAGGCAAGAGAGAUAAGGCUAUGGAGAUCUUUCUAAAUUUUUUCAGACAGACAGAUAUACACAUUCAUUUUGAUUUAAACAAACAAAAAAAAAAAGAAACACCCUAGGGAGCCAAAUGAGGGACUGCAUGAAAUGGGCAAAAUUUCAUACAAAGUACCCGAGAUGCCCCCACCUGCCUUAGCAAAGGAUUUAUCCCAAAUACCUUACUGAGUACCAGAAAAAUAAUUAAGAUUUCAUUCUAGGAUAUUUCAGUCUGUACAUCCCCACUUACUGCUCCAGGGACUGCAUGCUGACAAAGCUGCUCCAGUUCCAGCUAUUGCAGAAACUUCUCACGCUCUGCAUGCUGUUCAUUCUCAUGUGGCAUUCUCUUUCACUUUUUUUGUUCCAGCUACUGUUUCUCUUGCCAAUAAAGAUUAGCAUAACCUUCAAGAAAAUCUGGCAGAAGGUCAUGAUCAUUUCAGGGAGAAGUAAACAGACUGAAAAAGCAUAGAAUGAGAUUACUAGAAGAGUGCAAGAACUCUUUGCCCACAAUGUAUAGGUCAUGCUGUCAAACAAAAAUAUAUUGGUAUUUAACUCAGUCAAAACUUACAUAAACUCUGCUAGACAUCUGAGAAGUUGGAUGGGUCUGGAAUUCAGAGCUGCAUUGGACCUUAAAAUUAUUCACAAUCUACAGUCUCUUACCCAACACAGAUCAUUUCUCUGUUACCUAGGGGGUAUAAUUAGGGUGCACAGACAGACGUGUUCAGAGACAGAUUCAUCCCAGCCCAGAAUGGAGGCCUCAGAGGGCAAAGACGCAGAUGGAACCUGGAUGUGGAAGUCUGGAAUAAAUCCCAACCCAAAGGUUAUGCCAAGGGUCUGGGACUGAGCAAGCAGAUUGGUGUUAUUCAUAUUGACUACAGAGAAGGUAAAAGGGAUUAACAGGGAAAAGAUUAAGAGCCUUCAUUUAUCUAUAUCAGAUUUAAGGUAACAUCUGGAAAUUGGUAGAAAGAUCUGAAAGAGACAGUAAUUAAACUCAGUAGCGAAGAAUGUUUCAAGGUAUCUAGCUGGAGUGUGACCUUAAUACUCUGGCACUAUUUUUCAAAUAUAUAUAUAUAUAUUUCAUAUGAGAAGUAUUUGGGGAUAUUGUAAUAAUUAUCAUCACCAUCCAAAGUGCAACUACUACAAAUCACUUCUCUCUGCCAGUUCCUUUCUAUUGAUGUCCCAUGCACAGCCAUUUUUAAGACCUGGAAAAUAAGUUCAUGUGGCUUUCAUGAAAAAAAUGUUUUGGUUCUCUGCUAGGCAACAAUAUAUAUAGUUUCUCUUAAUGUUUUUACUUAAUCACUUCAACUGGCAAAUCUCCUGUGUCCUACCACUGAAACUGUGUCAUUAAUCUGGAAAAGGUCAACCACAAAGUAAAAAUUUAAACUGAGUUAAACACAGUUCAGUUAUAUCAUUCUAUAAAAACUGGGAGGCACAUUCAGAACAUUCAGCCAUCUAACCCUUGUUUUAUCUUACCUCCUUCCAAAAUCCUUUCUUUCCAAAAAAUCCUCAUGGAUGGGUGUGUCCCAGAGUACUUCUUUAACAGUUUCUGAGUUUAAUGCACCUUUAAUCUAUUUGUGUGUCUUUCAGUGGUCCUUUCUAAGUCUUAAAUCUUGAAAUACUACCAUUUUCUUUUUGUUACAGAAGCCUAUAUUUUCCCUCCAUCCAGGAGGAAAUUGAGGCUGCAGGUCUUUGAGAUAAUUUCUGCUAGUCUGACUUCAGGGAAGAACCUCUACCCAUGCUUUCUCUGGGACAAUGACAGGUCUAAAAAGUUCACAGCCAUUUGUCACAAUGUUAGUUAUCUACAUAGAACAGUAAAAGAUACUGAGAAAUCAAUUCAUAAAGCAAUGAAGAAUUUAUGUGCAAAUCUAGUUUAUCAGGCAGGCAAUCAUCAUCUACUUGAGGAACACAUACAGAAGGAUUGGAGAGCCUCAUUAAACUACUCAGGUCAUUUCACCUGCCUCUUUAUCUAAUACAGGUCCUAUUCCAGAAUACAUGUCACCUUUUCAUCCAAUAAGGUUGGUAUAGAUUGCUUUAAAUUAAUCUGUCAGACCUUUUUAAUCUAAUCAAAUCAGUAUGGUUUAUUUCUCAGAAUGAGUCUUCAAAAGACUCCAAAUCACUCUUGGCAGCCAAGGUUAAUCACCCUGUCUGUCUUCUUGAGUCCCUGAACUUUCCCCUUCUUCCAGAUAUCUUAGUAUCAGAAGAAGAUUUUUAACACCUUUAUAUACCCAGGAACACAGUUCCUAGAAAUCUUUUGGAGAUAUCAGAUAAGCUUUACAGCAUGAAUAUGAUGUUCUGCAUAUGUCAUGCUUCCAAAGUAUUCUGAAGUACAUUUUUUUGGCUUCAUUCUCCAAUAUGCCAAGCCCCAUGAACUGUAAGACAAUGUCAUAUGCUAGAAUAUCUUCAUUAUUACUAGAAUAAUUUAAUUAGUUUAUUCUAUUAAUAUGAUAAAUUCCAGUAGUAUUAGUAAUUAAUUUUAACACUUACUCGUACUUUUGUUCCUGCAAAAUAUGCAUCAGGUUUAAUCUGGAGAGUCUAGAAUGUUGUGGAUGGUCUUAAUUUCUGAUUGUUCCUGCCACUCUGUAGCAGACAAAAAUUCCUGUCUGAAUUUACCCCUAGCAAAGUAAAUGGGAGGGUCAAAGGCUUAAGAACCACAAACUCUGUUACACAGAGAAUCUUUAAUAUAUGCUAUAAACAAAAUUUCCUCUUUCCCAGCAGUGAUUAGAUUCAGUUUCAAGGAUGCACCUAACAUACAAAAAUAAUCAUGAAGAAUCAUGAAGGAUUGUAUUUUCAAUUCCAGGCCUUUUAUGGCACCUACUUUCAGGUCAGUGUAGACUCAGAUCUAUGGACCUGUUCUGUGACACCUGUAGGAUUUAAGUUUGUAAUUCAGAGGUACCUAUACCUAAGUAAACAUUUAGGACACAGUCUAUAUUCUAGAAUCUAGAAUAUGGAUUCUAGAUUCUUAAACACCAUCAAUACCAAACAGGUAAGAAUUUUGCCGUAACAUAUUGUUAGAUAAAUUAACACAAACUCCAGAUACUUUUCUACUGCUGUGUAUCUUCAAAUAACAGAAUUAAUCUUGUAAUUCCCUCAAAUCCAUUGAAACUGUAAGAAUUUACAUAAGGACUGAGAUAGUAAUUUAUUUUUAAAACUCAAGAAAGUGCUUCUUUUGUUUUUAGCUGGAAUACAUAGUACAGGUGACAUUUGAUCAGUCCACAUCAGGCUAAUACUGGUUCAGUUCCUUAUUGGAGAAGAGCUGAUCUCCCAUUUAUUCAUUAUUAAUUAAUUAAUUAUUGCUUGAUUAUCCACAGUUUAUAAAACAAUAUCUGCACUCAAUCUUAAAAGAGACAAAUUCUAGCACAUCCCCAAAUUACAGAGUAGGCUCAAUGCCCAUCAUCUGAAAUAAUAUCCCAUCAAUGUUUGCAUAAAAUAGAAACCAAGCCCAACAAUAUCCUCUUGACAAAUGUAGUAGGCAGAGACGCUCCCAAGUACUGCAGUCCACUACCUAUGUUUUCUUUUAAAUCUUCACAGGACCAGAUUCCAUCAGUUAGCCCAAACUGAAGAUAGUUUUUUUCAGGAUUAGGUGACAAAAUCAUCAGUGAUUACCAAGCUAGAUCCGUCUCCCAUUCCCACUGUCUCUUCUCCCAGGUGUUAUACUAUUGACACUUGGUUCACUAAGUAGCUCAUUUUUCUUCUGUUCCUGCAAUCUCAGACUUGUUAGUUGGAGGAACAAGCCCCACCAUGUGAGGAAAUGGCAAAUCUUCACCUCCACACCCCCAUCUCUUCUGUCUUCUGACAAUGUUGUUUUGAUAGCAUACCUGACAGGAAAAUAAAACAAUCUUCAAUAGAGGCUUCA